rnacentral:antisense_RNA from 1 species
GGGAGCUUGGAUGUGGAAGCUCUUUGGAAACCAAGAAACACUCUGCAAAUGAAAAGGGUGGAAGAGUAAACUGUUCCCGUUUCUCCAAAUUGACAGGAAGCAGAAGUUCUCCUUAGCUGAUUUUUCUUCUUGCCUUAUACUGGGUUCUUUAACACCAGAACAAAAAUAAAUAAAUAAAAGAAUCUUCCAGAAAUUCAUGAAGAGACUUCAGGUCAGGAAAGCCUGAACUUUCUCAUCUAACACCUGUUCAAGUCGGAGGAUGCUGAUUAAUUCAUGAUGGAAAGGUAUCAAUUUCACAGCCCAGACUUCUACAUUCUUGAAAUGCUGUUCUCAUGGGAGACAUUAAAUAAGCUUUGAAAUAACUGAGACGUCUGUGGAUUCUAUAACUCAAAGACCCAGGCUGAUGGCUGGUGGAAUAGCUACCAUCUCAAACAUGGCGUGAUGCUGCAUCAGAGGGAAAAAUAAGCUCUUGCACUGGCAAUGAAAUGUCUACCCUGUAGUGACUUGUGCUUACUUCCACUCACAAAUGAUUGCCCAGAGCUACUUACCUGGCUCCAAUCUACCACUGGGUGUGUACGUGCAAUCUACUGUGUACCUAGAAGAUGAGAGGAACAAAUUAUUAAUGAUGACCACACCCCAAGACUAACAAUAAUUGCAGAAGAAUCAAUGACUUAAACAAAAAUAUGGCCAUUGAAGGAAUAGAAAAUAUAGACCUUGUAUUGAAGACAGCAUAACCCCCAAGAGGAAAGGAGCUUGGAGCCCUGAAUCAGAGUAGAAGACAGGCUGAACACCAGCCUUGGACUGUUGUGUGAAUGAAAAACAAGUUUUGAGAUUUGUGUGGUUUACUUAUUAUAGUUACUGUUAUUAUUAAAGUUUUUCACUGCUUUACUCUCA